ACUUGCUUUGUUAUGGUGAAUCAGCUGAUGGGUGAAGAUGGCGACGCUGUACCUCGGGCUGCGGCUAAAAUCCCGCACACAGGAACGCGUAACCCUCGACAAUGUGGACUUGAACGAUACAGUGGACUCCGUGAGGCAGAAGGCAGCCGCCCAGAGCAAUACCACGCCGGAGAAAAUUGAGUUGGUGCACUGCGGUGUGGUGCUGAAAGGCUCAGACUCCCUGAGUGACGCAGGGAUAACCUCAGGCUCCAUGAUCCACUGCUUCCCCAGGAGUGAGCGCUCUGUUCCUGGUGCCGCUCCACUCAGUCUUCCCGAGGUUCAAACGCUCCUGGUGGCACUGAGAAAUGUCACGUCCAGGCCAAACUUCCGAGACUUUGUCCAGAAGCUGCGCAGACCAGACAUGGUAGAAAAGAUCCUGGCCUCUUGUCCCAUUGUCCGGCAUGACCCUGCAGCCUUGGCCAUGCUGCAGGACCCAGAACUCUUCCUGGGACUCACCAAUCCAGAUAAUCUCACCAAGUUAGUUGAGUCGUGGCCUGAAGUGGGUCGGGUGGCUCAGUACGUCACCUCCCUCAGCCCCAGUGAAGCGCCAUCUCCCCGUCGCUCACACCACGUCUCAUACUCUAUGGACGCCCUGUCAGACGAUGACCAGAUGGAGGCAGACCAGUCUGAAGACUCAACUGGUGGUGGAGACAGUCGGGCAAGUGGCUCGGUGCCCUUCCAGCCAAUCACACCAGCUCAGUUGGCUGCUGCCCUUGCUAGUGCCACAGUCUUUGCACUCACAGGAGGUGGUGGUGGUGGUGGUGGCGGCAGCAGCAGCAGCACCAAUAAUGGUGGUGUACCAGGGCAGCCCACCAGUGCCCCACGCAGCAUACCCACCACCCCAUCCAUUGCCACCACUACACCCUUCAACACACCAGCCUUCUCGGUCGGUGGCCCCACUGGUCCAGGGCCCAUCACCCAGGAGAUGUUUAGCAAUGCUCUACAAAAUGCCUUGGCUGCCUCGGCUAGCAGGUCUGUCUCUUCCCAGGCUUCAGGACCUCCCUCCUCUGCCUCUUCGGGUCCUCCAUCCACUGUUCAGAUCCCCAACAUUGAAGAAUCUCUACAGCUUAUGAGGGAAAUGGGAAUUCCUAAUGAGGACCUCAGCAGAGAAGCACUACAGGCCACCAAUGGGGAUGUGCAGGCAGCUGUUAAUCUUAUAUUUGCUCAGUGGAUGGCAGAUGACUAGGACUGUGGAUGUGUUGAAUGGAUGGAUGAAUUUCAGCAUGUGAAAAUUCAUCAGGAGUUAUGAAUGAAACUUACACUUCCAGCUGGUGAUGGACAGAGUAACACCACUUAGAGUAAGAACUGCAAAGCAAAAUUACACAGCUAAGGCAGGUGGGAACAAACUAUCUGGUCUUUAUUUUGUUAAAGUUGUUCAUACCUUUCACAAUCAUUGGUUAUGCACUAUGUUUCAUGACUGAGAAGGCUUGUAGUUUGUGAAGGAAAAUGUUUAUUGAUAGAUUUCCUAAAAGCACGUAUAUUUCUGACUGGGACAUGAAAGAUAGUGACCAUUAGAGUCCCCUGUUAUAUUGCAUACUGUCUCCAUAUUUCUCUCUAUUGUUUGUGUGUAUAUUCUGUCUCUGGUUAACACUGGGCUAGGAACCUGCUUAUUCUUGUCAGUUCCUUUUCUUGCUGGACAAGCCACAAAAGAGGCUUGAAAUGUUCAUAGCUUGUGUGGCACCCAGCUUUGUGUAGGAGUGUUAUCCUUUGCCAAGUGUAUUCUUAUAAUCUUUGUCACUUCACUCAUUCCACAAGUCCACAAUUCAAAAUAUAUUGCUGUACUUUCAA